GGGGGGAGACAAGAUGGCGGCUGCGGGAGGGGGUCCUCGCUUCUCAGCUCCCCCGCUCACCCGCCUUCUCCUUCCCUGCCGCCGCCCUCGCUCCAGGAGAGAGCUUUCGCACCGCCCCCGCCCUGCUCGGAAAGCCCCCCGCUUCUCCGGUUUCCCCCCGUGCAGUCCCUGGUCCCCGAAGGCCCCGAUGCCCCCGCCCCCGCUCUGUCCGGCCCCGCUGCCGCCCCCAUUACCUCAGCCGCCUGCCCGGCCCCACCGUUCGGGGCCCCUGGGCGCGGGCGGGCAGGCCGCCGAGCAGGUCGGCGCGGCCCGGGAAGCGGAGCGCGGUCUUCUCCCGCGCCUGCCUCCGUGGCCUCCGCCGUGCCCCCUCCCGGCCCGCGCUGGGGCCCCGGCCCGGCCGCCGCCGCCGCUCCCGGGGGAGGAGGGGGAAUGGAGCCGCCGCUGCUGCCGCUGCCGCCACGGAGCCCGGCCGAGGGGAGGGAGGGAUCAGCCCCCAGGCAGGAUCCGCCCCUCCGGCCUCCCCCCGCCACCUCCACCCCUUCCCUCGCUCCCUCCCUGACUCUGCGGGCUCUCCCGCUGAACAGGAGCGAGAGCGCGAAAGAGGGGGAAACGGGAAAAAAAUCCCCCCGCCCGUGCCUGGCGCGGCGGCGGCCGGGGCGGUGCGGAGAGGAGCGCGGAGGCGCCGCCGCCGCCGCCACGGGGCACCAUCCCCGGCUCGGCCUCACGGUGGCGGUGCGGGCGCGGCGGGGACACCGAGCAAGAGACCGGGUCUGCGCCCGCCGCGAUCCCUGCGCACCACGGCCCUGCCCGCCACGGGGCGAGCCCGAUAAGAGGGCUGUGGACGUUCGGGUCUAGUUGGGAGAGACAGGGGUCCCUGACUCUUGAGCGGUCAGUCAUUUCCUCCCCAGUCCUUGUGGGUGACGUGGCUACGGUUUGGAGCAGCAAGCCCCCUCCCCGAACUAAAGGGCCUCUCCAAAGGUUAAGCCAGGGCAGUCAUUGAGGUCAAAACCAAUAUGUAGUUUCUUGACUGCAGGUGCCUGCACGACUCCCAGAAAGUCGCGUCUCCCCUAACCCCCAUGCCCAGGACCUGAGGACAAAGGUCUAGCGAUUGUCCAUCCCCUCCCCCAGUGAGGACAGCCGGGAAAGACCUGCCUUUGUUGUGUACAGGUGGUAUCUCACUGUGUUAUCCAGACUGGACUCAAAUUUCUGGGCUCCAAUGGUCCUCUCACCUCAGCCUCCCAAGUAGUCAGGACUACAGAACUCCAUGGCAAUGUUUUGAGGAUUAAAGAGGAGAGUGAUGACUAUCCAAACGUCAGAGAACGCAACUAUGAGACUAGAGACACUGGAAAACUAAAAAAGUAACGGGCCUUUGCUGACUCAGGGAGAUGAUUUCCCAAGAGGGAAGAAAACUGGAACCUGAGAAAUAAGUGAUUUAGUAAUGUGGCUGCUAAAAUACGGAAAAACUAGAAUGAAUGGCUUACACAUUUUUGAAAUGAAGUUAGAAGAGGGUUAUACUGUGAAGAAGAAUGAAAAAGCCAAACAUUUCAUUCAGGUAAGCAUAUCACAUAGGAGAAACUCUAGGUGACUUUGGUUUGGCAGUGAGUUUUUAGAUACAACACCAAAGCACAAUCCAUAAAAGAAAAGAAAGAUAGAUAAGUUGGACUUCAUUAAAAUGAAAAACUUCUGCUCUGCAAAGACACUGUUAAGAGAAUGAAAACACAUGCCACAGACUAUGAGAAAAUAUGUGCAAAACACCUAUCUGAUAAAGGAAGUAUGUCUGAAAUACAAAGAACUCUUAAAACUCAGCAAUAAGAAAAUGAACAACCUGAUUAAAAUAUGGGCAAAAGAGCUGAAUGGAAACCUCCCCAAAGAAUAUAUGUAGAUGGCAAAUGAACAUAUGAAAAGAUUCUCAACACAAUAUGUCACUAGAAAAUUGCAAAUUAAAACAAGAUACCAGUAUACACUUAUUAGAUGAGCUAAAAUCCAAAAUACUAAGAACAGCAAAUGCUGAUGAGGUUGUGGAGCAACAGGAGCUCUCAUUCAUUGCUGGUGGGAAUGCAAAAUGAUGCAGCCACUUGGAAGACAGUCUGGCAGUUUCUUAAAGAUUAAACAAAGGCUUACCAGACACUCCAGCAAUUGCACUCUGUGUAUGUGUGUGUAUUUAUAUAUGUGUGUGUAUAUGUGUGUGUGUAUUUAUAUGUGUGUAUUUGUGUGUGUGUGUGUAUACAGGUAUCCACAGGGGAUUGGUUCCGGAAAGCUCCAUGGAUACCAAAAUCUGAGGAUGCUCAAGUUUCUUACAUAAAAUGGUGUGAGAUUUGCAUAUAAUCUAUGCACAUCCUCCUGUAUACUUUAUUUUUUAUUGUAUGUACUUAUUUUUUGAGACGGGUUCUCAGUUUGUCACCCAGGCUGGAAUGCAGUGGUGUGAUCACAGCUCACUGCAGCCUUAACCUCUGGGACUUAAGCAAUUCUCCCAGCUCAGCCUCCUGAGUAGCUGGGACCACAAGCAUGCACCACUACACGUGGCUAAUGUUAUUUUUUGUAGAAAUGGAAGUCUCACUGUGUUGCCCAGGCUAGGCUUCUGUAUACUUUAAGUCAUUUCUAGAUCACUUAUAAUACCUAAUACAAUAUAUAAAUGUUAUGUAAAUAGAUGUUAUACUGUAUUUUUAAAUUUUGUAUUUUUUUAAUUGUUCUAUUGUUAUUUUUUAUUGUUUAUUGUUUUGUUUAUUGUUGUUUAUUUUGUUUAUUGUGUUGUUUAUUGUUUUAUUGUUGUUUAUUGUUUAUUGUUUUUAUUGUUGUUUGGAAUAUUUUUGAUCCCAGUUGGUUGAAUCCAUGGAUGUGGAACCCAUAGAUAUGGCGGGCCAACUAUAUUUAUUAUUUAGAUCAAGAUAUAUUUCAAUAUAUAAAUUUAAAAAUCUUUUCUGAAAUAAAAGAAGAUUGACUCUUCUUUUCAAGUCAAAGAACA
rnacentral:lncRNA from 1 species